rnacentral:sRNA from 1 species
GGAUGUGAGGGCGAUCUGGCUGUGACAUCUGUCACCCCAUUGAUCGCCAGGGUUGAUUCAGCUGAUCUGGCUGGCUAGGCAGGUGUCCCCUUCCUCCCUCACCGCUCCAUGUGCGUCCCUCCCGAAGCUGCAUGCUCAGUCGAAGAGGACGACGAUCCCCGAUAGAGGAGGACCGUUCUUCGGUCAAGGGUAUACGAGUAGCUGCGCUCCCCUGCUAGAACCUCCAAACAAGCUCUCAAGCGUCCUCCAAUUUCCUUCUCAGUUUUUUUUUUAACUGUUCCUUGAGUCGUGCUGCUAUUGGGGGAUCCCAUUGAGCCUGACAGCAGUGGGUGUCAUAAGGAU